GACGAACGCUGGCGGCGUGCUUAACACAUGCAAGUCGUACGGUAAGGCCCUUUCGGGGGUACACGAGUGGCGAACGGGUGAGUAACACGUGAGUAACCUGCCCACAACUUUGGGAUAACGCUAGUAAACUGGUGCUAAUACUGGAUAUGUGCUCCUGCUGCAUGGUGGGGGUUGGAAAGCUCCGGCGGUUGUGGAUGGACUCGCGGCCUAUCAGCUUGUUGGUGGGGUAGUGGCCUACCAAGGCGGCGACGGGUAGCCGGCCUGAGAGGGUGACCGGCCACAUUGGGACUGAGAUACGGCCCAGACUCCUACGGGAGGCAGCAGUGGGGAAUAUUGCAAAAUGGGCGCAAGCCUGAUGCAGCAACGCCGCGUGCGGGAUGACGGCCUUCGGGUUGUAAACCGCUUUCAGCAGGGACGAAGCUUUUUGUGACGGUACCUGCAGAAGAAGCACCGGCUAACUACGUG
rnacentral:rRNA from 1 species